rnacentral:rRNA from 1 species
ACAGAGUGACAGGUGGUGCAUGGUUGUCGUCAGCUCGUGUCGUGAGAUGUUGGGUUAAGUCCCGCAACGAGCGCAACCCUUGAUCUUAGUUGCCAGCAUUCAGUUGGGCACUCUAAGGUGACUGCCGGUGACAAACCGGAGGAAGGUGGGGAUGACGUCAAAUCAUCAUGCCCCUUAUGACCUGGGCUACACACGUGCUACAAUGGAUGGUACAAAGGGCAGCGAAGCCGCGAGGUGGAGCCAAUCCCAUAAAACCAUUCUCAGUUCGGAUUGCAGGCUGCAACUCGCCUGCAUGAAGCCGGAAUCGCUAGUAAUCGCGGAUCAGCAUGCCGCGGUGAAUACGUUCCCGGGCCUUGUACACACCGCCCGUCACACCACGAGAGUUUGUAACACCCGAAGUCGGUGGGGUAACCGUAAGGAGCCAGCCGCCUAAGGUGGGACAGAUGAUUGGGGUGAAGUCGUAACAAGGUAGCCGUAUCGGAAGGUGCGGCUGGAACAC